rnacentral:tRNA from 1 species
UCCCUGGUAGCUCAGAUGGUAAAGAACCUGCCUGCAAUGCAGGAGAUCUGGGUGCAAGUCCUGGGUCGGGAA